GUAUGGACUUGCGUGAGAAGCUCCGAGGGCAUGAAGGGCACUGAUAUGGCUUCUCGCCUGUGUGGGUGCGCAUGUGAUCCUUCAGUGUAGAAUUUUGUGAGAAGCUCUGAGGGCAUGAAGGGCACUGAAAUGGCCUCUCGCCUGUGUGGGUGCGCAGGUGUUUGUUCAGAUGACUCUU